UGUAUAUUAGUAGCCUAGUGGACAUGGCAUCUGCCCGGUAAGCGGAACACUGUGGGUUCGAUUCCCAUCCCUGGACAC